GACGAACGCUGGCGGCGUGCUUAACACAUGCAAGUCGAACGAAGAGCGAUGGAAGCUUGCUUCUAUCAAUCUUAGUGGCGAACGGGUGAGUAACGCGUAAUCAACCUGCCCUUCAGAGGGGGACAACAGUUGGAAACGACUGCUAAUACCGCAUACGAUCUAAUCUCGGCAUCGAGGAUAGAUGAAAGGUGGCCUCUACAUGUAAGCUAUCACUGAAGGAGGGGAGUGCGUCUGAUUAGCUAGUUGGAGGGGUAACGGCGCACCAAGGCGAUGAUCAGUAGCCGGUCGGAGAGGAUGAACGGCCACAUUGGGACUGAGACACGGCCCAGACUCCUACGGGAGGCAGCAGUGGGGAAUCUUACGAAAUGGACGAAAGUCUGACGGAGCAACGCCGCGUGAGUGAUGACGGCCUUCGGGUUGUAAAGCUCUGUUAAUCGGGACGAAAGGCCUUCUUGCGAAUAGUGAGAAGGAUUGACGGUACCGGAAUAGAAAGCCACGGCUAACUACGUG
rnacentral:rRNA from 1 species